rnacentral:lncRNA from 1 species
GAAAAAAAUAAAAGACCUUGGGAGUUCAUGGACCAAGGGCCAAGUGAGGUGGCCACAGCACAUUCGCAAGGUUUGGUGGACAGAUUCCGACCUUCUGGCCCAAUGCAGCGUUUGGCCAGGAGUUCAGUCCAGCUCCAGGUUCUGCCUUGAUGCCCGGCUCUUCCCAGGGACCCCAGGCCCUGCCAGUCAGCUGUGGAGUUCCCCUGGAGUGUGAGGCAGGGGGAACCACGGCCCUGAGGCCUGGAGGGAAGAGGACUCACAAGUGCUCACUGUGAGAAGGGGCCAGACACCGGAUCAAUUGCAAUCAAAGAGCAGAUGUGUCUGCCGGCAGGAAGAUCAAAGCGAGGAAGGAGCCACUUUGCCCAGUGUGGCUGGGGCAACCGAAGGCCAAGGUCUGAGGGUCAGUGUCAGCCUCGGUUCCAGCUCCCCAGCGCCAGUGUGCAAGCCAAGCCCCAGCUCUGGGACCAAAGGGCUCCAACUGUCCUCCACCUGCUCCGUGGGGCUGGCGUGCGAAAGCAGGGCACACCAACCAUCUGAGACCCGGAGCAAGCCGGCCUCAUCGUUAUUCUCUGCAAGGUGGGAGGAGAGAAAAAUUACGCUUUUCUGUGGAUGAGAGAAACAUGGAGGAGAAAGAAACGUGCUCUUGGCAGCUGUCACUGUGUCAAGAUUCGGCCUAAUGGUCACACUUAGUACCUUGGAAAUUUCCGUUUCCACUGUCCAUUCCCAUUCGCGCGAUUCCAGGGGAAGGGAGCGGGUUGGACCCAUCUAUGUGGCACCCAAGGAUCUGGAUCCAAGCAGACCGGCUCCUCAGAAGGCCUUCCACACGGCCUAAACGAU